rnacentral:piRNA from 1 species
CUGAACUUGAGGGUGAUGACUUACUGA